GGCUCGUAGCUCAGUGGUAGAACAUCUGCUUUGGAUGUAGAUGGUCCUAGGUUCAAUUAUGGCAGCAUCA